rnacentral:ncRNA from 1 species
CUGAGAUGGACCCUAAACAGUCCUUUAAACACAAAGGUUUGGUCCUAACCUUGAAAUCAAUUAUUACUUAAUAUACACAUGCAAGUCUCCGCACCCCUGUGAAAACGCCCUCAAAUCCCCACUAGGGAUAAGGAGCCGAUAUCAGGCACAAUAUAUGCCCAAGACAUCUAGCUACGCCACACCCACAAGGGAACUCAGCAGUGAUUAACAUUGAGCAUAAGCGACAGCUUGACUCAGUUAAAGUAAAAAGAGCCGGCAAAUCUGGUGCCAGCCGCCGCGGUUACACCACGUGGCUCAAAUUGAAUUCUCUCGGCGUAAAGCGUGAUUAAAGUCUCACUAUUACUAGAGUUGAACUAAAACUAAGCUGUGACACGCUUGUGCUUAAGAAAAUCAAAAACGAAAGUUACUCCAAUCAAAACAACUUGAACCCACGACAGCUGAAAUACAAACUGGGAUUAGAUACCCCACUAUGCUCAGCCGUAAACUUUAAAUUACACCAAAAUCGCCAGGGAACUACGAGCAAAGCUUAAAACCCAAAGGACUUGACGGUACCCCACAUCCACCUAGAGGAGCCUGUCCUAUAAUCGAUACCCCCCGCUUAACCUCACCACUUCUCGCCAAAUCAGCCUGUAUACCUCCGUCGUCAGCUUACCACGUGAGCGUAACUUAGUGAGCUCAAUGCCCACACGCCAAUACGUCAGGUCAAGGUGCAGCAAAUGAAGUGGGAAGAGAUGGGCUACACUCUCUAAUAUAGAAUACACAGAAGACUAUCUAUGAAACCUAGUCUAAAGGCGGAUUUAGAAGUAAAAAGAAAACACGAGCGUUCUUUUUAACCCGGCACUGGGGUGUGUACACACCGCCCGUCACCCUCCUCAAUAGCCAUAACAAAGUAAACAACCAACAAAAGCAACACAGAAGAGGCAAGUCGUAACAUGGUAAGUAUACCGGAAGGUGUGCUUGGAUACGAAAGGU